AAAGAAAAGGGAGAGAGAGAGAGAGAGAGAGAGAGAGAGAGAGAAGGAGAAGAAAAGGAAGCGGGUCUUCAAGCUUGGAUUCUCCAUUUCUUCAUUGAUUUAGAGAGGUGCUAUUCAUGAAAUUCUGCCCAGAAAAGUGCCAUUUCUGUCAAUGGUUUUGAUGCCAGAUCUUAAUAUGCAGAAAUUGGUGCCAGGUUUCAAUUUUUUGGGAUUUUAGUGCUGUUUUUGACAAAACACUUAUUUUUCAGAUUUUUAAAGGCUUCAAUGAAGUUAUAUGAUAAGUAUUGAGGUUUAUGUAUUGGAAUAAAUUAUGUAUAGUGCUUGUAUAUGUAUAAGUUAAUGAUUUUAAGGAAGUGUGGGUAAUUUAAUAGAUUUGAUAA